rnacentral:rRNA from 1 species
AACGGCGAGUGAAGCGGCAAAAGCUCAAAUUUGAAAUCUGGCUCCUUCGGGGCCCGAGUUGUAAUUUGCAGAGGAUGCUUCGGGCGUGGCCGCGGUCUAAGUCCCCUGGAACGGGGCGUCGCAGAGGGUGAGAAUCCCGUCUUCGGCCGGCCGGCUUCGCCCGUGUGAAGCUCCUUCGACGAGUCGAGUUGUUUGGGAAUGCAGCUCUAAAUGGGUGGUAAAUUUCAUCUAAAGCUAAAUAUUGGUCGGAGACCGAUAGCGCACAAGUAGAGUGAUCGAAAGAUGAAAAGCACUUUGAAAAGAGAGUUAAACAGCAUGUGAAAUUGUUGAAAGGGAAGCGCUUGCGACCAGAGUCGGCCGCGGGGGUUCAGCGGGCAUUCGUUGCCCGUGCACUCCCCCGCGGGCGGGCCAGCGUCGGUUUUGACGGCCGGUCAAAGGCCCCCGGAAUGUGUCGCCUCUCGGGGCGUCUUAUAGCCGGGGGUGCAAUGCGGCCAGUCGGGACCGAGGAACGCGCUUCGGCACGGACGCUGGCUUAAUGGUCGUAAGCGACCCGUCUUGAAACACGGACCAAGGAGUCUAACAUCCACGCGAGUGUUCGGGUGUCAAACCCGUCCGCGCAGUGAAAGCGAACGGAGGUGGGAACCCUUAAGGGUGCACCAUCGACCGAUCCUGAAGUCUUCGGAUGGAUUUGAGUAAGAGCGUGGCUGUUGGGACCCGAAAGAUGGUGAACUAUGCCUGAAUAGGGUGAAGCCAGAGGAAACUCUGGUGGAGGCUCGCAGCGGUUCUGACGUGCAAAUCGAUCGUCGAAUUU